rnacentral:rRNA from 1 species
GACGAACGCUGGCGGCGUGCCUAACACAUGCAAGUCGAGCGGAGUCAGUAAGAGGAAGUUUUCGGAUGGAAUCUUAUUGAUUUAGCGGCGGACGGGUGAGUAACGCGUGAGCGACCAACCUUGCACAGGGGGAUAACGGACCGAAAGGUUCACUAAUACCGCAUGAGACCACGGUGUUGCAUGACACAGGGGUCAGAGGAGCAAUCCGGUGCAAGACGGGCUCGCGUCCGAUUCGGUAGUUGGAGGGGUAACGGCCCACCAAGCCUAUGAUCGGUAGCCGACCUGAGAGGGUGAUCGGCCACAUUGAAACUGAGAUACGGUCCAAACUCCUACGGGAGGCAGCAGUGGGGAAUAUUGGGCAAUGGGGGAAACCCUGACCCAGCAACGCCGCGUGAAGGAAGAAGGUUUUCGGAUUGUAAACUUCUGUCCUUGGUGAAGAGAAGAAGACGGUAGCCAAGGAGGAAGCCCCGGCUAACUACGUGCCAGCAGCCGCAGUAA